rnacentral:rRNA from 1 species
GACGAACCGAGCGACCGUUAUUCGGAAUCACUGGGCUUAAAGGGCGCGUAGGCGGGUCAGCAAGUCAGGGGUGAAAUCCCACGGCUCAACCGUGGAAGUGCCUUUGAUACUGUUGAUCUCGAGGGAGGUAGGGGCGUGCGGAACUUCCGGUGGAGCGGUGAAAUGCGUAGAUAUCGGAAGGAACACCGGUGGCGAAAGCGGCGCGCUGGACCUCUUCUGACGCUGAGGCGCGAAAGCCAGGGGAGCAAACGGG